rnacentral:rRNA from 1 species
AUACGAAGGGGGCAAGCGUUGUUCGGAAUAACUGGGCGUAAAGCGCACGUAGGCGGAAUGUUAAGUUAGAGGUGAAAUCCCAGGGCUCAACCCUGGAACUGCCUUUAAUACUGGCAAUCUAGAGACCGAGAGAGGUGAGUGGAAUUCCGAGUGUAGAGGUGAAAUUCGUAGAUAUUCGGAGGAACACCAGUGGCGAAGGCGGCUCACUGGCUCGGUACUGACGCUGAGGUGCGAAAGCGUGGGGAGCAAACAGAAUUAGAAACCCUAGUAGUCC